rnacentral:rRNA from 1 species
CUUGGUCAUUUAGAGGAAGUAAAAGUCGUAACAAGGUCUCCGUUGGUGAACCAGCGGAGGGAUCAUUAUCGAGUUAUUCAACUCCCAAACCCUAUGUGAACUUACCACUUGUUGCUUCGGCGCGCGCUUCGGCGCCGCCGAGGACACUUAAACUCUUUGUUUUUAUAAGCAUUUCUGAGUGGCCGAAAGGCAAAAAUACAAAUGAAUCAAAACUUUCAACAACGGAUCUCUUGGUUCUGGCAUCGAUGAAGAACGCAGCGAAAUGCGAUAAGUAAUGUGAAUUGCAGAAUUCAGUGAAUCAUCGAAUCUUUGAACGCACAUUGCGCCCGCCAGCAUUCUGGCGGGCAUGCCUGUUCGAGCGUCAUUUCAACCCUCGAGCCCGACUCUUUUGAGGACGGCUCGGCGUUGGGGGACGGCAGACUCCCCCCGGCAUCUCGCCGGGGACGCCGCCCCCGAAAUCUAGUGGCGGCCCUCCGAGGCGACCUCUGCGUAGUAACUUGUUCUCGCACCGGAAAGCUCAGAGCGGCCACGCCGUAAAACCCCAACUUUUUUCAGGUUGACCUCGAAUCAGGUAGGAC